GGGACAACAGAGACAGGUGGUGCAUGGUUGUCGUCAGCUCGUGUCGUGAGAUGUUGGGUUAAGUCCCGCAACGAGCGCAACCCUUACCCUUAGUAGCCAGCGGGGAAAGCCGGGCACUCUAGGGGGACUGCCAGGGAUAACCUGGAGGAAGGCGGGGAUGACGUCAAAUCAUCAUGCCCCUUAUGGUCUGGGCUACACACGUGCUACAAUGGUGGCCACAGAGGGAUGCAAACCCGCGAGGGGGAGCGAACCCCAAAAAAGCCAUCCCAGUUCGGAUUGUACCCUGCAACCCGGGUACAUGAAGCUGGAAUCGCUAGUAAUCGCGAAUCAGAAUGUCGCGGUGAAUACGUUCCCGGGUCUUGUACACACCGCCCGUCACACCAUGGGAGAUGGAUAUGCCCGAAGUCAGUGACCGAACCGAAAGGACGGAGCUGCCGAAGGUGGAGCCAUUAACUGGGGUGAAGUCGUAACAAGG
rnacentral:rRNA from 1 species